GCAGAUACACCAAAAUUCUAGAACUCACGAAAGUUCCUUUUCUAAUUCAGGAGAUCUGAUGCUUCAGCAGAAUUCAAUUCGGAACUCAUGAAUAAAAGUAAAAAGUGAAGCAGCAACUUUUUUUGGAAAUUUCGGCAUCGUUCCGAGUCUCAGGGCAAAAUAUGCGGAGCAGCCAGCACAAAUCCCGGACAAGAAGAGUUUGG
ensembl:ncRNA C29A12.9 ncRNA